rnacentral:rRNA from 1 species
UACAGAGGUCCCGAGUGUUGUUCGGAUUCAUUGGGCGUAAAGGGUGCGUAGGCGGUUUCCUAAGUUUGAUGUGAAAUCCCGGGGCUUAACCCUGGAAUUGCAUUGAAUACUGGGAGACUAGAGUACUGGAGAGGAAACUGGAAUUUACGGUGUAGCAGUGAAAUGCGUAGAGAUCGUAAGGAAGACCAGUGGCGAAGGCGAGUUUCUGGACAGUUACUGACGCUGAGGCACGAAGGCCAGGGGAGCAAACGGG